rnacentral:rRNA from 1 species
AGAAUCAACGCUGGCGGCGUGCCUAACACAUGCAAGUCGAUCGAGAAAGUGGAGCAAUCCAUGAGUAAAGAGGCGCACGGGUGAGUAACACGUGACUAACCUACCCUCGAGUGGGGAAUAACCUGGGGAAACCCGGGCUAAUACCGCAUAAUACCCACGGGUCAAAGGAGCAAUUCGCUUGAGGAGGGGGUCGCGGCAGAUUAGUUAGUUGGCGGGGUAAUGGCCCACCAAGACGAUGAUCUGUAUCCGGCCUGAGAGGGCGCACGGACACACUGGAACUGAAACACGGUCCAGACUCCUACGGGAGGCAGCAGUGGGAAUUUUGCGCAAUGGGGGAAACCCUGACGCAGCAACGCCGCGUGGAGGAUGAAGUCCCUUGGGACGUAAACUCCUUUCGACCGGGACGAUAAUGACGGUACCGGAUGAAGAAGCCCCGGCUAACUUCGCGCCAGCAGCCGC